CAAUAGCGUAUAUUAAAGUUGUUGCAGUUAAAAAGCUCGUAGUUGGAUUUCUGGCAGGAGCGACCGGUCACACACUCUGUGUGUGAACUUGCGUUGUCUCUGGCCAUCCUUGGGAAGAUCCUGUUUGGCAUUAAGUUGUCGGGCAGGGGAUACCCAUCGUUUACUGUGAAAAAAUUAGAGUGUUUAAAGCAGGCUUAUGCCGUUGAAUAUAUUAGCAUGGAAUAAUAAGAUAGGACUUCGGAACUAUUUUGUUGGUUUGCGUUACGAAGUAAUGAUUAAUAGGGACAGUUGGGGGUAUUCGUAUUUCGUUGUCAGAGGUGAAAUUCUUGGAUUUCCGAAAGACGAACUACUGCGAAAGCAUUUGCCAAGGAUGUUUUCAUUAA
rnacentral:rRNA from 1 species